rnacentral:tRNA from 1 species
GCGGGGGUCGCCAAGCCUGGUCAAAGGCGCAGAGCCUGCACCUCUUAAGGUGUGGGCGCGGAGGGCUGAGGCCCCUGUCCCGUAGGGGUUCGUGGGUUCAAAUCCCACCCCCCGCACCA